GGUUCAAUGGUCUAAUGGUUAUGAUUUCUGUCUCACAUUUGUUCCUCUGGAGCGGAUCACAGAAGGUUCCCAGUUCGAUCCUGGGUUGAGCCA